rnacentral:lncRNA from 1 species
GCAUAGAAGAGACCCAAAAAGUCAUGCACAUUACCUACGGGAUUCAUAGAUAUUUGACUACGUAGUUCAAUGUGCACAUUUUGUGCACAUAGAGGCGCUAAUGAAUGAAAACACCUUAAAACGACGCUAUUGACCGCUAUUUUGUACGUGCUGUUUUGUGCGUAUGUUUAUAAAUUCUUUUCAUAAUUAAUUAUGCACAAUGGGACGAUGUAAUAUAUGUAAUAAUACAAAAAGUAAAGAAUCCGGACGGACGUUCCAUAACUAUGCCUUUCGAUACAUAUGUGUGCUAAUAAAUUCUGAGAAUAAAGUUAUAAAAUAAUGAAUUAAAAGAGAACAAAAGGUGUGAUUGAUUAAAGACAAAUUCCAAUAAGUUUAUUGCAUAGUAGCUUUCUCUCUUUAUUUUUUCUACACUUUUAUUAUGUUCAUAAUUUAUUGCGAAACAGAAAGUGAUUAAUUUUUACAUUAUUUUCAUGAUUAUCAAGUAAAAAAAAACGAUGGCUCAGUACAAUUUUGGUACUAAGGAUAACACAUUAUUAAAUAUUUUGAUUACGAAAUUAACUUACCAACGAUAGUAAUUUAUUUAUCGAUAGAGUAAUUUGUUUAUGAAUAAUGAUAUCUGAUUUAUCGACAAAGAUAAUUUCAAAAAGAGAAAAAUAAGUUACACAAAGAAUAUCCCACUCAUUAAAAAAGGAGAUAAAUAUAUGUAUUAAAAUUAUUAAAGAUUGUAACUACUUAAACACUACAUGAAGGUUUUUUGAAAUAUUUACGAGUAUGCGUAAAUAUUCCUCAAAUGAAAUUAAUAAGAAUGAAGUUAUUAUGUAUUAUGUAUUGGUUAUAUUAAUAAAAUAUAUUUC